rnacentral:rRNA from 2 species
AACUGCGAGUGAAGCGGGAAAAGCUCAAAUUUAAAAUCUGGCGGUCUUUGGCCGUCCGAGUUGUAGUCUGGAGAAGCGUCUUCCGCGCUGGACCGUGUAUAAGUCUCUUGGAACAGAGCGUCAUAGAGGGUGAGAAUCCCGUCUUUGACACGGACUACCAGUGCUUUGUGAUGCGCUCUCAAAGAGUCGAGUUGUUUGGGAAUGCAGCUCAAAAUGGGUGGUGAAUUCCAUCUAAAGCUAAAUAUUGGCGAGAGACCGAUAGCGAACAAGUACCGUGAGGGAAAGAUGAAAAGCACUUUGGAAAGAGAGUUAAACAGUACGUGAAAUUGCUGAAAGGGAAACGCUUGAAGUCAGUCGCGUUGUCCGGGAAUCAGCCUUGCUUCGGCUUGGUGCACUUUCCGGAUGACGGGCCAGCAUCGAUUUUGACCGCCGGAAAAGGGCUGGAGGAAUGUGGCACCUUCGGGUGUGUUAUAGCCUCCAGUCGCAUACGGCGGUUGGGAUCGAGGAACGCAGCACGCCUUAUGGCGGGGGGUUUACCCUACCUUCGUGCUUAGGAUGCUGGCAUAAUGGCUUUAAACGACCCGUCUUGAAACACGGACCAAGGAGUCUAACAUGCCUGCGAGUGUUUGGGUGGAAAACCCGAGCGCGUAAUGAAAGUGAAAGUUGAGACCUCUGUCGUGGAGGGCAUCGACGCCCGGACCUGACGUUCUCUGACGGAUCCGCGGUAGAGCAUGUAUGUUGGGACCCGAAAGAUGGUGAACUAUGCCUGAAUAGGGUGAAGCCAGAGGAAACUCUGGUGGAGGCUCGUAGCGAUUCUGACGUGCAAAUCGAUCGUCAA